AAAUUUCUUGUAUUAUUUGUGUAUUUGCGUGAGCGAAUUUGCGACGACUGGUUAAUUUUCAAGUUGGUUAUCUGAAAUUUUUGUCGCAUUGGUGGUCGUCAGUACCGUGUAUAAAGCGCCAUGUCGACGCAAAAUGUGGGAAAUGAAGAAAACGCAGCCCCAAAGUCGAAACGACCUUCAGAUUCAGCUUUUAAGCAACAACGCCUGCCCGCCUGGCAGCCCGUGCUGACCGCACGAACGGUUCUGCCCACCUUCUUUGUCAUUGGUGUCCUAUUCAUUCCCAUUGGCGUGGUGCUGCUGUACCUAUCCAAUUCAUCCAAUGAGCUCAUCAUUGACUACACUAGGUGCAUGCAGGUCGACAGUAAUAGGACCUGCGCCGAUUAUCUGGAGGACACAACGGGCGGCCAGUGCUUUUGCAAGAUUAACUUUAAUCUGACUGAAGACUUUAUUGGCGACGUUUACAUGUACUAUGGCCUAACCAAUUACUAUCAGAAUCAUCGACGAUAUGUGAAAUCGCGAGACGAUGAACAGCUGUUGGGUCGCUUGUCCUUAACGCCAAGUUCAGACUGCACCCCAUUUGCCUAUGCAGAUAAUGGGAAACCCAUUGCGCCUUGCGGGGCCAUUGCCAAUUCCCUAUUUAAUGAUACACUGACACUGAGCCAAGGCAGCUCGAAUAUCAAAUUACUAAAUACGGGCAUUGCAUGGCCAUCGGACAAGCGCGUCAAGUUCCGUAAUCCCCCGGGCAACCUGUCAGAAGCUUUAAAGCCAUAUGAAAAGCCCAUAUUCUGGCAAAAAGAACUCGAUGAAUUGGAUUUAACAAAUGUCGCUAACAAUGGUUUCCAGAACGAGGAUUUAAUCGUGUGGAUGCGCACUGCUGCCUUGCCCAGUUUUCGCAAGCUAUACCGUCGCUUGGAUCAAACAAAUAAUAGCUUUACGAGAGGCCUUAAAGCCGGCGAAUACACGUUGGACGUAGAUUAUAAAUAUCCCGUGGUAUCGUUUGAUGGCACCAAGCGUAUGAUUCUAUCGACAACAUCAGUGCUGGGCGGUAAAAAUCCAUUCCUGGGCAUUGCCUAUAUUGUUGUUGGUGGCAUCUGUUUAAUACUUGGACUAGCGCUUCUCUUCAUUCAUAUGCGCUGCAGCCGCAGCAUUGAGUUGAUUUGAAGCUCAUGCCUCUCAAGUCCCAUCAAAUAAAAAAUUGUCAAAAUGGCUGUCAAAGUUAACAAGCUGUCGCAGCAACAUGGAGAUGAUAAACGUUAAUCCGCAUACGCAGUACUCCUAGAAGCAACGGAUGCGGUUUGAUAGUAUUUUUGGCAAAAACUCCUCUCGCCCAUGCACCAUUAUUUAGCUAUAAUAUCUUGUUUAAGCAUAAUUAUCUAUGUAUGUCUUUGUAACAGAAUACACACAAUUAGUUUCUUAUA